rnacentral:rRNA from 1 species
AUAUCAGUAAGCGCAGGAAAAGAAACUAACAAGGAUUUCCUCAGUAGCGGCGAGUGAAGAGGAAACAGCCCAGGUUGUUAAUCUAAUAUAAAGUAUUAGAAUUGUAAUCUAUAGGAUAUCUCAGAAGAAAUUAAUAUGCUAUAAGUUGCUUGGAACAGCACGCCGAAGAUGGUGAAAGCCCAGUCUUAGAGUGUAUUAAUUCGUAUGAGGUGUUUCUAAGAGUCGGGUAGUUUGGGAAUGCUGCCCUAAUUGCGAGAUAAACUUCUUGCAAGGCUAAAUAUUUAUAAGAGACCGAUAGCGCACAAGUA